rnacentral:rRNA from 1 species
CGGCCGCAAGGUUAAAACUCAAAUGAAUUGACGGGGGCCCGCACAAGCGGUGGAGCAUGUGGUUUAAUUCGAUGCAACGCGAAGAACCUUACCUACUCUUGACAUCCAGAGAAUUCGCUAGAGAUAGCUUAGUGCCUUCGGGAACUCUGAGACAGGUGCUGCAUGGCUGUCGUCAGCUCGUGUUGUGAAAUGUUGGGUUAAGUCCCGCAACGAGCGCAACCCUUAUCCUUUGUUGCCAGCACGUAAUGGUGGGAACUCAAAGGAGACUGCCGGUGAUAAACCGGAGGAAGGUGGGGAUGACGUCAAGUCAUCAUGGCCCUUACGAGUAGGGCUACACACGUGCUACAAUGGCGUAUACAAAGAGAAGCGAACUCGCGAGAGCAAGCGGACCUCAUAAAGUACGUCGUAGUCCGGAUCGGAGUCUGCAACUCGACUCCGUGAAGUCGGAAUCGCUAGUAAUCGUAGAUCAGAAUGCUACGGUGAAUACGUUCCCGGGCCUUGUACACACCGCCCGUCACACCAUGGGAGUGGGUUGCAAAAGAAGUAGGUAGCUUAACCUUCGGGAGGGCGCUUACCACUUUGUGAUUCAUGACUGGGGUG